rnacentral:rRNA from 1 species
GACGUUGAUAGGAUGCAGGUGUACAGGUGGUAACAUCAUAGCCGAGCAUUACUAAUUGCCCGUUCACUUUCUUU